UACAGAGGGGGCAAGCGUUGUUCGGAAUUACUGGGCGUAAAGGGCGCGUAGGCGGCCCGCUAAGUCGAACGUGAAAUCCCCAGGCUCAACCUGGGAACUGCGUCCGAUACUGGCAGGCUUGAAUCCGGGAGGGGGAUGUGGAAUUCCAGGUGUAGCGGUGAAAUGCGUAGAUAUCUGGAGGAACACCGGUGGCGAAGGCGGCAUCCUGGACCGGUAUUGACGCUGAGGCGCGAAAGCUAGGGGAGCAAACGGG
rnacentral:rRNA from 1 species